ensembl:lncRNA
UGGGGCACAGCUUGAUUUGAUACAUUUUAGGGAGACCAGAGGCAUCGAUAUAUGUAAGAAGUAGAUUGGUUUGGUCUGGAAAGCUGGACAACUCCAAGCGAAGGCAGGGAGACUGCAAGGAAGCGGGGAGGGACCUUUCAGGUCACAGAUAUGUGACAAAUGGUUGCAUUCUUUUGAGUGUCUGAACAGCCUUACCAAAGGAGGCAAUCAGAUAUGCAUUUAUCUCAGUGGGCAGAGGGAUAACUUUGAAUAGAACGGGAGGCAGGUUUGCCCUAAGCAGUCCUCAGCUUGAAUUUUCCUUUCAGCUUAGUGAUUUGGGGGGUCCAAGAUAUUUUCCUUUCACACUUGCAACCAAAUGUGAAUACGUGGCAGUCUUAUGGGGGAUGCUGGUAAACCUCGUGGAGCCCAUGCAAAUACAAAACUUCUAAUGAAGACUCGGCAAGCAGAGAAGAUAAGGAAAAACUCAACAGAUCCGAGGAGUCAAUAUCAUUAGAGGGCAGAUGUGGUGACUUCUCCCCGGAAGGACAUGGCCCAGCAACAGAAGGAGAUAUUGGGAAGAUCCGUCCCCUUGUGCAGAGGCAGAAUGCAAGCACAGGACCCCAAACCCCCUGAGGAGCUCCUCCUGCAACUGGGGGCAGUUUCUUCAUACAAGGCAAGUCGGAAAAAACAAAUUAUUUUCUCUUAUAGGGAUUUUCCCUUUGAACCUUGUUAACCCAGAAUAUCAGAGACAGGUCUCAGUCACUUUAGAAACUUUAUUUUGCCAGGGUCGCGUCCGUGACACAGUCUCAGGAAGUCCUGACAACACGUGCCCACAGUGGUCGGGGGUGCAGUUUGCUUUUAUACAUUUUAGGGAGACAUAAGACGUCAAUCAGUACGUGUAAGCUGUACAGUGGUUUGGCCUGGUAAGGUGGGAAGUGGGGGGCCUCCAGGUCAGAAGUAGAUAAGAGACAAAAGGUUGCAUUCCUUUGAGUCCUUGAUCAGCCUUCCACUGAAUACACAAUUUAAUCUGGCUCAGUGAAUCUGCAUUUUUACAUGAACAAUAGGGCAGAAGAAGCGAUCAGAUACACACGUGUCUUGGGUGAGCCUUAGAGGGAUGACUUCUAGAGUUCUGUCUGCCCUUUGUCCACAAGGAAUUUCCUGUAGGCAAAUUGUGAGGGAGGUAUCUUUGUAGCUAUCUUAUUUAGGAAUAAAAUAGGAGGCAGGUUUGCCUGACAUCGUUCCCAGCUUGACUUUUCUCUUGGCUGAGUGACUUUGGGGUCCUGAGAUUUAUUUUCUUUUCACAACCUUUAGUUGAGUGAAAGUUUCUCCUUUAGGAACCACAAAGGCCAGUCAGUCCCUGAGCUUCUGAUUCUUUUGUCUCCUUAAUGACUACACCUGUGUGCUGUUUCACCACACACCUUUGAAUCCCUUGAAAUUCUGCUGAGAUACAGUAAACAAUCACCUACGUACCUGGUUUGACCGGAGGGAUCCCCAGAAGAGUGGCCUCUCUGAAAUGCUGCUGCCAUGUGUUUGCCUCAAUGCCAGGAGUCCCUCUGUGUGAUGCCCCCAGGCAGUGGCAGGGAACAGCAGCCCCAUGUGAGUGUGACUUGGUGUGUUAGCUUCCAGUCCUCCUGACAGUGAC